AUUUAUAUAGUUUAAGCAAAACAUUACAUUUUCACUGUAAAAAAAAUAGAAAUAUUUAUAAAUA
rnacentral:tRNA from 1 species